UACAGAGGGGGCGAGCGUUGUUCGGAAUUACUGGGCGUAAAGGGCGCGUAGGCGGCCUGCUAAGUCGGACGUGAAAUCCCUCGACUCAACCGGGGAACUGCGUCCGAUACUGGCGGGCUUGAAUCCGGGAGAGGAAUGCGGAAUUCCAGGUGUAGCGGUGAAAUGCGUAGAUAUCUGGAGGAACACCGGUGGCGAAGGCGGCAUUCUGGACCGGCAUUGACGCUGAUGCGCGAAAGCCAGGGGAGCAAACGGG
rnacentral:rRNA from 1 species